UUAUGAUUUUAAACCAAUAGUACAAAUUAAAAACUUUUUGGACUUCAUUACACUUUUUUCUAACGGACCAAAAUUGCAGUUUAGUCCUCAUUUAACAAAACUCACGAUCUGGAGACGUACAAGUUAGAAUGGUUUUUAUUUUGGAAAGGUUUUAUAAAUAACCAUUGGAAUUGGGAAGCCAAAAGGUUUAGGUCGGUGUAUUGGCGCAUAAAAUAUACGUUACGUUCUCCACUCUUCCUUCUUCACUUCACUCUUCCCGCUUCGCUCUCCAAACACCGUCCGUCGGAGACGACUCAUCGCGACCUCCAUAACUCAGCUCACCGGAGACACAAGCACCCCCACCCUUCGUAGGACACUCACAACCAUGGUAAUAAUGAAUUUCUAUGCAAUGUAUCAUCCUUUGCAGACCAUGAAGCCUUUGAUCAUCUGUUACAUAUCCUAUCAAUAAGUUUGUGGAUCUUUUUGACAUGAACCAGUUACCCCUGCUUCUGAUCAUGAACCAAAUCCAUGGGAAUUGAAUAUGUCUAAUGUUUCUUCUGGUUAGCAUCUUGGCUUUUUGCUCAACAAAGUGGAUGUGGGAACCUCUUUGUUCUGCUGUGAUGCUUGAACAAGCAUCUUAUUGCUGUUACCUUUUAGCCAAACCAAUUAUAUUAAGAAAGUAUGGAUUUCAUCUUAUGAUCUAUACAAGAAAUGCGGUCAGGCAUUGCAAUUUUUGUUAAUAUUUUAAUAGAUAAUUUUCUUUAAUAUUUAUUCAUAAGAGCAAUGUAUUUGUAGCUACUCAUCCAAAAACAACAAUCGUUAACUUGAAGAAACACUAACAAUUUUUUUUUCUUAUUAUUUUCUUUUUAGUGGACAACAAAGGUAUUUCAAGAAAAACUUCAAUUUUUUGAGUACACAUCAUAUGGCAAGUGCAAUUGUGUUUGCCCAUGUUAUAUGUAUGUGGGGGAGAUUAGUAUUUAACAAAAUAAAAGAUAAGUUACUUUUUUGUUAAUGGUUUCCUUCCCUAGUCUCCUGAUGUCAUGGAUUUUCUUAAAGUGUAAGUAAUUUUUAGGGCUAAAGUCAAUAUAUAACAACUUGCUUUCAUUCAUUUGUGUUUUAUUUCAGCAUCCUAGUUUCAUUUCUUUCUAUUACAAUAUUCUACUUUCAACCUAUUCAUAUUAAGACAAAGAUGAAGUGCAAAUAUAUUUGUAUGAUGAUGAUGAUAUAAUCCUUACUCUCUUCUGCUUUUGGCAUGCAUUUGAGACACACAUUGCAAUUUUAUAUCCCACCCAAAAAGGUGGAAGGUGGGAUAGGGAGGGAUCCGUCUGAAUAAAAGACGAAAAUGACCUUCACAUAUCCUCAUCAUUUAAAAGUUUCUCGUCUAAAUUUUGAGUUGAUUUUUAUUAUUAUUAACAUUUAUAAGAUUUUGGCAGGAGAGAAGUAAUUGAUGAAGAAGGAUGGAUUCAAAUUACCACCUUCUAUGCACUGAUUACAUGCUCUGACAAAGCAUGGAAGCGAUAUGCAGGAAAUGGUGUGGUCUUUGAUAGAUUGAAACAUUAAGAACAGGUCGAUAGAUAUAAAGAGGAUCCUCUUCAUUCGGCUAUGAUGCUUGAACAAGCAUUUUAUUAUUGUUACUUUUUAGCCAAACCAAUUACAUUAAGUAUGGAUUUCAUUUUUAAAAUCAAACAUAUUAAGUCGUUGUUUUAAUUUCUUUUUUCUAGUAAGACAAGGUAAUUCUAUUUUUUUUUUUUUUUUUUGAAAAACUAACUACUUAUAAUAUUGUACUUUCAGUUUUAAAAUUUCGAAAUCCAACAUAUUAACACACACUUAACACAAUGUACCUUUUUUUUUCUUUCUUCUAUGUCUUUUUAUUUUGAAUGUUAACCUUUUAAUAAUAUUAUACUUCUAAAAUCUAAAUUUGUUUUGCCUUGUUUCAAAGGUUUAUUUCAGAUUCUUGCACAUGUUUUGUAAAUUUUUGGUUUUGAUUUUUUGUCAUGUUGAAAAUAUUUUGGCUUCCUACAUAUGAAAUUUUUAGUUGAAGUUGGCUACUAGUUUCACAGAUGGAUUGAACAUACCUAAUUUUCCCUUAUAGGCUUAUACAUACAUGUUCAUAUCAGUUUAUCUUUCUAAUGUUGUGAUUUGUUUAAUUGUACAUACACCUGAGAUUGAGAUUCUUCAUUUGUCAAACCAUAUUAAGGAGAAGCUGAAACAAGUUGGUUGAUGAAAUGGUCUAGCAUUCCCUACUCUUUACAUCUAUAUUUAUGUUAUUUUCAGAAGUUUGUCUUCAUUGGAGGAGCUUCCAAGAUCCGUCUCUUGCAAAUGGAACACCUUCAUCUUCAUUCAGAGGAUACUUGAUACAGUUACUACUUCAUAAGACAUCAUUUGGGCAGCGGGCAGCAAAUCAACACGCAGAGGCAAAAAACUCACGGACCCUGCCCGAGAUCAAGUUUUAUAAAAAAUCUCUUGGUCUGGUCUGCCCGGGAAACAACCUCCCAAAACUCUUCUGUGACCAAUCUUGCCUUGUAGAUGGUCAAAGUCAAAGUCAAGGUUAAAAUGAAAUGCCCGCCCCCUCUAGUGAGCCCGAUUUUGCUGCAAAACUGUGGGUGAUCCGAAGAAUAAUUUGGAUAUGUAAUCCCACCGACUCCAUCGCCAUUCCCUAUACAACUUCUUUUUCUUGUACAUAUUCCACCUUACAGUCGAUUUUGUUCUCCAUACGAACCAUCGGAUUGCUUCAAUCGAUUUAGAAGAGGUCACAACAGGUGGAGAUCAAAUACAAAGGUCUAAACCUAAAUCGGGAAAGAUGCGGCGCUUGACAGUUUUUGAGCUUGUAUUCGGGUUUCAAUGCGACGGAGGUGUUCAACUUGGCGCCAACCAUGGUCGAUGCAGAACGGUUAUGUCUCGGUUCCGGCGACAGCACACAGUUUCUCCAUCAGAAGGUAACUAGGUUAGAAGAUUAUCAAAUUAGACAUUGGAGUCACUCAUGAAGAUAUAGCGGUAACGCAACUAUCAACUAUCAACUUGACAAUUAAUUUGGGUGUCAUGAACUAUUUUCAGUUGAAAGAGAUCCAAGUAACUUUACAUCAUCAGAAGUAAAGCACCAAGCAGGAAUCCCAAGAUGAUCAAACAAAUCCUUUUUCUGAUCAGAUACAUCAUGAUUGGUUAGAAUAUAGUGAAAAAAUCUGAUUGAAUCAUCUACCUCUUUAUCCAAAGACUUGGAGGGAUCCAAGAAAGUUGACGUUGCAAUGAGUUCGAAAGCAUUAAUAUGCCUAGGUCAUUGCUUUGAUCUUUUUCUGAAUCAUUAGGUUGAAAAAACCAAAAAAACGAUAAAUGAAAAUAUGUAUUAUAAGACACUCUGUAACAAAUAUGCAAAUCAUGAGAAGAAAAAACAAAAACCUUUUCGAUUACUUUAGGACUACGACCUGUAGACUCUUCUUCAAGCAUAGCUUCAGAAAAUCUAGUACCGUGCACACAUGGCACAUCCUUAAAUAUAUGAACACUUCAUCAAUAAAAAUUUAGUACUUAUGAAAAUCCAGAAAGCUAGAUUGCCAAAAGUUGAAGCAGUCAUAGUUGUUUUGUUUUAGAAACGUACAUACACAAAAUUUCAGAAGCAAAAUACGCGAAAUCAAAUUAGAAUCUAAAAAUUAAAAGAAAAUACCGACUGAAAUUGUCUUCAAAUCGAUAGCGUUGUGCAGAAAAGAAACACGGAUUCUUCUAAAAAUUGUGUCGUUGAGGUGUAUAUGAAAUACACAUGGAGUUUUCAAAAGAAUAUAUGUAGUAAUCGUUUUCAAAUUUGGAAUUGAAUAAGUUGGUGCCAAAAUAAAUUCGGGGCAAUUGAUACGUAUCCUAAAAAUUUAGGAAUUAGAUUACUAAUUAGAAAAUGAAAGUAUCAACAUAAUUUAUUUACAUCUAAAAGAAAAUUCAAGAAAAAUUACAUGUGUUUCUAGAAAAUAAAAGAAUUUUUUUUUUAAAACUAUUAGAAAAUGCCAAGUGUACAGAAAGGUGCAUCUAGCAACUGGUACCCUAUGGAUUUCAUAUUGUGUAGUUAAAAAACUUAUUCUUAGCUUAUAUAUAAACAAUGUGAUUUAAUUAAAAAUUAAAAUAAAUAAUAAGUUAGCUGAAAAAUAUAAAAUAAUACAAAAAAAAAAACUAAAAAAAGAUUCAGUGUUAUAUAUAUAAUUAAAACCCAACCGGAUUAUGAACAAUAGUAACGUGUUCAAGCAUGCUUGGAUCUGGAGCCAUUGACUUCUCUUUGAAGUUAUGGGAUUUUGUUAUUGAUUUAGAACGAGCAUAGAGGUGUUGAAAGAGGGCAAAGUAAGCAGCCGUAUAAGGGCUAAUUAUUUUGGGACCAACUUUUUUUUAUUAUAUUUUAUAUGUAUGUAUAUUUAUUUAAAAAUAAAAAGCUUAUAAUCCAGACUCGGGAAUCUGAGCAUAAAUAAAUUCGCACUCCACCAUCGCAACCUUCUUCACAUAUAAUGAAAACGCUGGAAAAAAAAAACAACCGUUAUCCAACGUCAAUUUCCUUUAUUACCUCAAACUUCAAACAUCACAAUCAUCCCCUUUAUCAGGUCUUAAUGGAGAUACUCGAAAUAUGGAGCAGUGAGGCCCGAAUAUGAAGAAUUUUUUCCAAUAUGAUUACAUGUUGUCUAGGGUUUUCUUUUCCUUAUCCGAAAUCAUGAUUGAAAGAAGUAGGUAGAGAUGGAGGAAGACGAAAGUUGGAAUUUGAAGCAAAAAUCAGUUAAUUUGAAGUAGAUUGCUUCUGCCUACUUGUGAUUGAUUAUGUUUGAACGUGGAAAAUCCCUUGUGGCUUUUGGUGUAUUCAUCAACAAUAAACAAUUCCACUCCUCUCGGAAGAGCUUUAGAUUCUGAUCCUCUGUACAUGUUUGAAUCUGGAUAUAUUAUUCCUUGCUUAAAAAAAUCAUGCCUUUUUCCGAUUAUGUUGCAUCAACAAUUUUGUCUAAUUACUUACGCCAUGCACAUAUUAAAAAAUCUGGAUGUAUUAAAAACAAUUAGUUACGCCAUGCACAUAUUAAGUAGAAUUGUUUUUUUAUA